CCACCUCCUCCUGCCAAGAGAGGUUUGCGAGAGGGGGAAAGAAGCCAGGAGGGUGUGAGAAGUGGAAAGGAGUCUUUCCGGAUCCCAACCCCCACCCCGGCCCAGCUUAUCAAGAUUGUACCAUUUCCUUUUCUUCCUCCAGGGUGAUUGUUUUCUCCAUAUUACAAGAGGUUAUGUCAACUACAGUCCAGUGCCUGCCUGCCUGGCGUUCAAGGAGAGUGAGUGCUUAACAUGCGUUAGCCUCUUCCGCCUCCUUCCCUCUCAAAUCAUCUCUCAACCAAGAGAACAUCAUGCAAAUGAUGGGCUAGAUGAAUCACAGGCUGGAAUCAAGAUUGCCAGGAGAAAUAUCAACAACCUCAGAUAUGCAGAUGAUACCACCUUAAAGUAAACAUAUCUUUGAGAACUUGCGAUCUGCUGGAAGCUGUGAUGGCCCUGGGGCCCCAGAAAGAAAG
ensembl:lncRNA